UUUUCUUCUUCCUUCUCUUCUCUCGUCUCUGAUUGUUUUCUAGAUCUAAGUUUCGUUUUCACACAGAUCUCUCUACCGCUCACACAUCUCUCCAUCUCUGCUCACAGAAGAAACAUCAAUGCCUCUACUCACAUAUCUAUGUUUGUCUCUUAUCAGUUGUGUAUGUAUUUGAUUUUGUUUUGAUAGAUGACAGAGACGGAGGUGGACUGCGACGGUAACGAAGAUGGAGAGACUUAGAGGGCUGAGGAAGAAGCGGAGAUUUUUAAACUAGGAAGAAGAAGAAGAAGGAGAGAAGACAAAGGAAGAAGAAGAAAAGCCAAGAUGAAGCUUCGCUGGCUCCUUCCAGAGCCAAUAUUGAAGAAGAUGAAGGUGGUGAGGUGGUGCGUGUAUCACUGGCGACACGGGGGUGGGCUAUCACCGGAGGAAUGUUGCGCGUGGUUCAUGGCCUGGUGCGCGUGGUGCUGUGCGAGGAUAUACAUAUAUAAUAAACAUCCACGAAAAGCAGCAUGGUAAAACCGUGGCUCGUAGCCACGUUUAGCCACAGUUUUUUCCAGCCACGAGGCUAUAGCCACGGUAAAUUUCCAAUCCAUAAGCGUGACUUAUUUUCUUUGUAGCCA